ACCAGGAACUCGCUCUUGAGCGCGCGGCGCGGCCCGCCGCCCUCCUCGGCGCCCGCCGCCAGCUGCUCGGGGCUGCUGGGACCCAGCUGCGCGUAGUGCUCGAUGAAGUCGCCCAGCGAGUCGCGGAACUCGGCGGCCACCGCCAUCGACAGCGUGAGGCGGCUCUUGGAGCCGCCCGCGCCCACCUCGGCGAUCUUGAGGAAGCGGCCCUUGGCGUUCUGCUUCACGUCCAGGAGGAGGGGUUCUUGCCUGUUUGUGUGUCGGUGCGUUGCAUGCCCACUGAGGGUGUGAUGGCUAAAGAAACUCCAUUUUGUGUUGGGAGUUCAUCUUGGUACCAAAUAGCCAUUUGUCUCUGACUCAAGUUCCUGGAAGACAUUCAAGGACUGUUCUGAAGUCACCUUGACCCUCCAUCUAAUCCGGGUAGAGCAGGACAGCCCCCAUGGGUUUUACCUUUAAAUGUCCUUCCUGCUCCCUCAUCUGACUCUGAUUGAGUGCAGCCUUGCCAGAAGUUCUAAUAAAUUCUGCUAAUUAUAAUCAGAA
ensembl:antisense Gm11973 predicted gene 11973